rnacentral:sRNA from 1 species
GCCAGGCGCGGUGGCCACACCUGUAAUCCUAGCAGCUUGGGAGGCUGAGACAGGAGGAUCGCAAGUUCAAAGCCAGCCUCAGUGAGGCGCUAAGCAACUCAGUGAGACCCUGUCUCUA